rnacentral:rRNA from 1 species
GACGAACGCUGGCGGCGUGCUUAACACAUGCAAGUCGAGCGGAAAGGCCACUUCGGUGGUACUCGAGCGGCGAACGGGUGAGUAACACGUGAGUAAUCUGCCCCUGGCUUUGGGAUAGCCACCGGAAACGGUGAUUAAUACCGGAUAUGACCACUUCACGCAUGUGAUGGUGGUGGAAAGUUUUUCGGCCAGGGAUGUGCUCGCGGCCUAUCAGCUUGAUGGUGAGGUAAUGGCUCACCAUGGCUUCGACGGGUAGCCGGCCUGAGAGGGUGACCGGUCACACUGGGACUGAGACACGGCCCAGACUCCUACGGGAGGCAGCAGUGGGGAAUAUUGGACAAUGGGCGGAAGCCUGAUCCAGCAACGCCGCGUGAGGGAUGACGGCCUUCGGGUUGUAAACCUCUUUCAGUACCGACGAAGCGCAAGUGACGGUAGGUACAGAAGAAGCACCGGCCAACUACGUGCCAGCCGCCGCAGUAACAC